rnacentral:rRNA from 1 species
UACAGAGGUCUCAAGCGUUGUUCGGAUUCAUUGGGCGUAAAGGGUGCGUAGGCGGCGCGGUAAGUCGGGUGUGAAAAUCUCGGAGCUUAACUCCGAACUGCAUUCGAUACUGCCGUGCUUGAGGACUGGAGAGGAGACUGGAAUUUACGGUGUAGCGGUGAAAUGCGUAGAUAUCGUAAGGAAGACCAGUGGCGAAGGCGGGUCUCUGGAC